AGAUUGAACGCUGGCGGCAUGCCUAACACAUGCAAGUCGAACGGGAGUAGCAAUACUCUAGUGGCGGACGGGUGAGGAAUACGUAGGAAUUUGCCCUUAAGUGGGGGAUAACCCGGGGAAACCCGGAUUAAUACCGCAUGACCUCGAAAGAGCAAAGUGGGGGAUCGCAAGACCUCACGCUUUUGGAGAAGCCUACGUCGGAUUAGCUAGUUGGUGAGGUAAUGGCUCACCAAGGCGACGAUCCGUAACUGGUCUGAGAGGAUGAUCAGUCACACCGGAACUGAGACACGGUCCGGACUCCUACGGGAGGCAGCAGUGGGGAAUAGUUGGACAAUGGG
rnacentral:rRNA from 1 species